rnacentral:sRNA from 1 species
AAGUAGCCCACAAUUUAGUCCAGGAACAGCUUCGAGUUGGUCAUAUUGAGCCUACUCUUAGGCCUUGGAGCACUUCAAUCUUUGUGGUAAAGAAAAAAAUCUAGCAAAUGGAGAUUGUUACAUGAUCUCAGAGCCAUUUAUUGAACCAAUGGGGGCUGUACAGUCUGAACUUCCUUCUCCUAUGGAGAUACUACUUGAUUAUGAAUUAAUACUAAUAAAGAUUGUUUUUUCACUAUACCAUUACAUCCAGAUGAUUGUAAGAGAUUUGCUUUUAU